rnacentral:rRNA from 1 species
AGGAAAAGAAACCAACAGGGAUUGCCCUAGUAACGGCGAGUGAAGCGGCAACAGCUCAAAUUUGAAAUCUGGCGCAAGCCCGAGUUGUAAUUUGUAGAGGAUGCUUCUGGGCAGCGGCCGUUCUAAGUCUCUUGGAACAGGGCGUCAUAGAGGGUGAGAAUCCCGUAUGUGACCGGCGCGCACCCUCCACGUAGCUCCUUCGACGAGUCGAGUUGUUUGGGAAUGCAGCUCUAAAUGGGAGGUAAAUUUCUUCUAAAGCUAAAUACCGGCCAGAGACCGAUAGCGCACAAGUAGAGUGAUCGAAAGAUGAAAAGCACUUUGGAAAGAGAGUUAAAAAGCACGUGAAAUUGUUGAAAGGGAAGCGCUUGCAACCAGACUUCGCGGCGGUGUUCCGCCGGUCUUCUGACCGGUCCACUCGCCGCCGCGAGGCCAACAUCGUCUGGGGCCGCCGGAUAAGACCAUGGGAAUGUGGCUCCCUCGGGAGUGUUAUAGCCCACGGUGAUGCGGCGCGCCUCGGGCGAGGUCCGCGCUUCGGCAAGGAUGUUGGCGUAAUGGUUGCCAGCGGCCCGUCUUGAAACACGGACCAAGGAGUCUAACAUCUAUGCGAGUGUUCGGGUGUCAAACCCCUACGCGUAAUGAAAGUGAACGGAGGUGGGAGCUUCGGCGCACCAUCGACCGAUCCUGAUGUCCUCGGAUGGAUUUGAGUAAGAGCAUAGCUGUUGGGACCCGAAAGAUGGUGAACUAUGCCUGAAUAGGGUGAAGCCAGAGGAAACUCUGGUGGAGGCUCGCAGCGGUUCUGACGUGCAAAUCGAUCGUCAAAUUUGGGUAUAGGGGCGAAAGACUAAUCGAA